rnacentral:lncRNA from 1 species
GACGACGAGCGAAGAUAGAAAGAUCGGUGACGGCGACGGCAACGAGCGAAGACGAGAAGACCGAUGACGGCGAUGGCGAUGGAGAAAGAAGAUGAAGGCUCUGCCUUUUCUAAGGAAAAACGGAAGUAUUAAUGAGAGAAGACAAGACCUCAAAAAAAUGGUGAUGGCCGGCAGAUGGAAAGUCCAAACAGACCAUCGAGGUCAGUGACGAAUGGAGAUGAAUGGAGAUCGGUGACUUUGAACGGCAGUGGUGUGGGUGAGAGGAGAUGAAUGG